rnacentral:rRNA from 1 species
UKGCCCAGAUCGUUUACCGUGAAAAAAUUAGAGUGUUCAAAGCAGGCAGAUCCAAUUUUYUGCCMCCGAAUACAUUAGCAUGGGAUAAUGGAAUAGGACCCUGUCCUCCUAUUUUCAGUUGGUUUUGGCAGCGCGAGGACUAGGGUAAUGAUUAAUAGGGAUAGUUGGGGGCAUUAAUAUUUAAUUGUCAGAGGUGAAAUUYUUGGAUUUAUGAAAGAUUAACUUYUGCGAAAGCAUCUGCCAAGGAUGUUUUCAUUAAUCAAGAACGAAAGUUAGGGGAUYGAAGACGAUCAGAUACCGUCGUAGUYUUAACCAUAAACGAUGCCGACCAGCGAUUAGGAGACGUUGAAUACAAAACACCACCAUCGGUUGCGGUCAUCCUUGGCGUCUCGGUUUCGGCCGGGGCGCGGGGAUGGCUASCCCCCGUAACCKCYG